rnacentral:rRNA from 1 species
UACGUAGGGUGCGAGCGUUGUCCGGAAUUAUUGGGCGUAAAGAGCUCGUAGGCGGUGUGUCACGUCGGCCGUGAAAACCUGCAGCUUAACUGUGGGCGUGCGGUCGAUACGGGCAUCACUGGAGUUCGGCAGGGGAGACUGGAAUUCCUGGUGUAGCGGUGAAAUGCGCAGAUAUCAGGAGGAACACCGGUGGCGAAGGCGGGUCUCUGGGCCACUACUGACGCUGAGAAGCGAAAGCGUGGGGAGCAAACAGG